UCGACUGUACUUACAGGAUUUCUGUCUAGUACAUUUCCAGUCUUUGUUUCCCAACAUAGACACACGGUUUACCCUCGACGAUGAGUUGAAGUGCGCUGCCCGUAAAGGGAAGCGAAGCACACCUGUUUACUCUUCUCUUGAAGAGUCGGGUGCCUGCUUAUUGAUGAUCUUGUCUAGUCACCCUUCAAGGUGGCUAUGAUGAGGGCGGUCGCACAUUCUGAGCGGU
rfam:Mortierella elongata AG-77 unplaced genomic scaffold K457scaffold_64, whole genome shotgun sequence.